GUGGGUCAGGUGUCUUUCACUGUCAUAAUUUUCUCACUGUUAUAAUUUUUGCAGAGGCAGUUUGAGGCCCUGCAGAUGACUCUGGCCAUGUUGACAGCUUCGGGCUCAACCAUCCACCGCCCCUUCCCCACUGCAGUCCCCUGACCUCCCUUCCCCUGCUCCCAAGAAGAUGGGUCCCGGCUCAACUUCAGCGCUUUUCACCCGCUUAGCUCCUCCCACCCGGCAUUGGCUCCUCCCACUUGGCAUCAGCUCCUUCGACCGGGGCUUCGACUUCUCCCACCCGACCUCGGCUCCUCCCACCCGACCUCGGCUCCUCCCACGCAGCCUCGGUUACCCUCUCCGCCACCCGCUGGACCUCGGCUUCCAGGGCCCUGCCUCGGUUCGCCCGCCCUCAAUCCCGCACUUGCUCUCGGCUUCCGCUCUUUCUGCCCAGCUCGGCUCUCCCGCCCGCCCUCACCCCAGGUGCCACCCUCCCUUCGCCCUCUCUGCCGCGCGACCUCCCGCCCUUGGCGCCGGUGCCACCGCUUUUCGGUCCAGCUCGGAUCCUCCUGCCCGGCCUCGGCUCUUCCGCCCAGCCUCGGCUUCCCCCGCCCAGCUUCGGCUUCCUUCGCGCCUGGCUUCGGCUCUUUCCGCCCAGCUUCGGCUUCCCCAUCCGUCCUCGCCUCGCGUCCUACCAUGGCGCUGCCUGUCCCUCUCUGUCUCCGACCUGAAACUUCCCCUCCCUCCGCCCUGGCCAUGGCUCGGCUUCUCCGCCGCCCUUCCCGCUGCUUUUCGGCCCGGCUCGGCUCCUCCCGCCUGGCCUCGGCUCCUCCCAUUGGCCUUGGCUUUUCCGGUUCCUCUCGGCCGACCUCGGCUCCCACCACCCGUCUUUGGCUCCCCUCGCCCUGCCUUGGCUUCUCCGCCGCUCCUCGGCUCAGUUCGUUCAGUUCGGCUUUCUCCGCCCGGCUUCAGUUUUCUCCGAUUUCGCUGCUUCAGUUCGGCUCUUUCCGCGUCUCCCUAUGGUACCCUGGGCUCGGCGUGGCUCUGGGUCUGGUUGGGUCCUUGUCUUAGUCCGGGGGAGUUGCACUAAUUGAGUUCCCGUCAUUAUGAUAUGGAGGUGCCAGUGUCUCCACAUCCUGGCCAAUCUGUUAUCUUUUUAAAAGAAAAAAAUUCCUGAUCAAUGAAAAAGGGAAUCUCAAUGUAUUACUUCCCAUUUUUCUUAGGAGAGCCACUUGUAUUUCUGUGAACUGUUAGCAUUUGCUCCUUUCUCUAACUCUUGGUCUUUCUCUUACUGCUUCGUAGGAGUUCUUGAAUACUAACAAAUUAUUAUGAGCAAUGUUCAAGCAUGGAAAUAAUUUUUGAAAAAAAUGUACAGGAACAUUCAUCAGUAACAUUUUACUAUACUUUGUCAUAUACAUCUCUGUAUCAUCCAUCAAUUCAUCUUUUUAAAUGCAUUUUGAAGUAGGUUGCAGAUAGCUUACAUAUCAUUAAUUAGAGUUCAAAAUUUGGGGCUGGAAGAUCUAAGGUGGCUCAUUCCCCUGGCUAGCAAUGUGGUGCUGGUGAGUUGGUUACUGGUUACGGGGCUGUUUGAGUCUCCUCAUGGCAUGGCGGAUGGCUUCUCCUAGAGAAAGAGCAAUAGAAGAGACCAAGGAGGAAGCUUCAGUGUGUCUUAUGACCUAGCCUCAGAUGUCACAUGCAACAGUGCUGUAUUGAUCAUAUGGGUCGUGUAUGAUUCCAUAUUGGAGGUGGGGUACACAGGACAGGAAUAUCAGGUGGCAAGGGUCUUUGGUGAGCAUUGUGAAGGCUAGUCAACACACCCACCUUUCCUUCAGACUACCUCUUUUCAUCAGCCCGGAAUCUCUUUUUUUGUGCUGGAGUGCCUGAUCCGAUUGUAGCUGUUUGAGGCAUCUGGAAUUCAUGGCCGGGUUUAGAACAACUUGGAAGGUCUCCUUUCCCCCUCUUCUCUUUCUUUUACCCUUCUCCCCUCUCUCUUCCUCUCAGCCUCGCCCCCAACUCUAGUCUUUCUUUGCUUCUAGAGAGCGAGCAGGAGAUGCUCUGAGAGUCAACUGGGAAUGCAGCUGAUAAGGGUCUGCUGGGUGCAGGAAAUGUUGGAAGGUUUGCUUGCUGGGCUGUAUCACCUCCUGUAUUAUGGGAGCUUAGAGUAUAUGCCAGCUUGUCAGGACUACCAUCGUCUUCCAUGUUCUGAGACUGGAGUACCCAACAUUCCCCUAGCAGGGGACACUUGGCUUGAUGGGGCUCUAUCAAUCUAUAUUGUGAGGGUAGAGAUAUUCAUAUUGCAAGGGGAGGCUGCAAGAGUUGCCUGCUGGGGCUAAGAUUAUUCCUUAUGUUUGGGAUAAAGGAGGGGUCACCGCAGGGGCAGUCAACUCAUGUUGGGGGAGACGGGAUUUGCAUUCUGGGCUCCCCUCCUCGUUUAUGUUAAGGGUGUUGGUUGCUGAUGCUUCUAUUAACUCUUACUUUGGGAUAAUGGGAAGAGAGAUAGUUUUCUGGGGUAUGAGUUUGUCACUUAUGUUGUAGAAUCUGGGGGGCUGCCUGUUGAGAUUCUGACCAUUGCUUGUUUUGGGUGUCAUUGCUGGGGAUACUUAUUUAUAGUCUUGGGAAGACAAGGGAUGCAUGUUGCAGCGGUAGUGGGUAAGAAUGGUGGCAUUUGCUGGAGUUCUUUUUUUUUUUUUUUUUGAGACGGAAUCUUGCUCUGUCUCCCAGGCUUGAGUGCAGUGGUGUGAUCUUGGCUCACUGCAAACUCUGCCUCCCGGGUUCAAGUGAUUCUCCUGCCUCAGUCUCCCGAGUAGCUGGGACUACAGGCACGUGUCACCACGCCUGGCUAAUUUUGUAUUUUUAGUAGAGACAGGGUUUCACCAUAUUGGUCAGGCUGGUCUCGAACUCCUGACCUCGUGAUCCACCCGCCUAGGCCUCCCAAAGUGCUGGGAUUACAGGUUGAGUGCGUAGAGGAUUGAGGGUUGAUUGGUUUUUGGAGUUUCCAUCAUUAAUGUAGGAGCGAUAAGGGGAAUCACUUGGCGAAGCUUUCAUUGUCUCUGAUGUUGGAGGUAACUGGAGGGCCAGUGCCUGGGGCUUCCAUUUUUUUCUAGUGUUGAAGGGUCAAGAGCAUUUAUCAGAUAGAGGCCUUACUGUGUAUUGUUUGGGGAGAGGAUGGAGGGAUUAUUGGAUGGGGUUCCACUUAUCUCUAGUUGGGGAGGGUCAUAUUCUGGGACUCCCCUUGCCUGUACUAUUGGUAUAGACUGGGUAGGCCAUUGGGCUUGGAGUCCCCAUUCUUUAGUGUUGAGGGGCAUCUGAAGGGGUCAUUUCAGGGACUUCUGUUAUAGUUUUGGACGUGACUGAGGGGUGCUUGCUGGAGUAGUUUUGCGAUGACGGAGGUCUUCAUGUUUGGACUCCAUCUUUUGUGUUUGUAAGUGAUUGAGGGGUGGAGAUCUGGCAUCCUGUUGCCUCUUGUUUUGGGGGUGACUGGUGGUUACCUGCUAGGGCUUCUGUCAGCUCUACUGCUGUAUGCAGAUUGUGAGAAUCACUUGCUGGGGCUUCCAUAAUCUCUAGUCUUAGGGGGACUGGGAAAUGGCUUGCCAUGCUUUCUAUUAUCUCUAGUUUUAAGGGACCAGUUCAAUGUGAUUUAAAACUCUUUUUAUUUGAAAAAAAAAAAAAAAUUAGGGCUAGACACGUUGGCUCACGCCUAUAAUCCUAACACUUUUGGGAGGCCAAGGCAGAUGGAUCACUUGAGGUCAGGAGUUCGAGACCAGCCUGGCCACCAUGGCGAAACCCCAUCUCUACUAAAAAUACAAAAAUUAGCCGGGCGUGGUGGUGCACACCUGUCGUUGCAGCUACUUGGAGGCUGAGGCAAGAGAAUUGCUUGAACCCAGGAGGCGGAAGUUGCAGUGAGCUACAGAGCGCUCACUGGUGCGGUUUACAAUCCUAGCUACAGAGUGCUGAUUGGUGUGUUUUACAAUCCUCUUGUAAAACAGAAAAGUUCUCCAAGUCCCCACUCGACCCAGGAAUUCCAGCUGGCUUCACCUCUCAUUGAGUUUGCAGGAUGGCAGGUAAAAAAAGAAAUAACUUGCUAAAACGCUGAAUCUGCCUCCACUUGUAACAAAACUGCCUAAAAUCUGUGAGAACCAAUAUGGCCAAAUGGAGUUUGUGCAGAAUGAGCUUGCUGACGUCACAGUGCAAAUUUCCACCGCGUGUUUCAUACAAACUCCCUUGAGUUAGUAUGGCUUUGCACAUGGAACCCAUGAGGAGGCAUGAAGAGAUCAUUGCACCUGCCUGAGGACUGAACAGACCUUUCCUCCCACCAAUCGCCUGCUAAUCCCAGGAUCCACGCCCUACACCUUUUCUAAGAAAAUUACUGCCUUAAAGUCAGCAUAAGACAAAUUUGAGCUGGACUCCUGUCUCCUUGUUAACUUGCAAUACAAACAAACCUUUCCUUUUCUCAAAAAUCUGAUGUCAUAGUAUUGGCUUCUAGCACAUUGGGUGAAGAGCUCUUUUGCUGGGUAGUGCCACCACUGUACCUACUGUGGUCCACCAUGUGUGCCACUCAGAUGCCCUGGAUUCAUUUUGUUUUUGUUUUUGAGACAGAGUCUCCCUCUGUUGCCCAGGCUGGAGUGCAGUGGUGCCAUCUUGGCUCACUGCAACCUCUGCCUCCUGAGUUCAAGUGAUUCUCCUGCCUCAGCCUCUGGAGUAGCUGGGACUAUAGGCAUGUGCCACCACGCCCAGCUAUUUUUUGUAUUUUUAGUAGAAAUGAGGUUUCACCAUGUUGGCUAGGCUGGUCUCGAACUCCUAACCUCAAGUGAUCUGCCCACCUCUGCCUCCCAAAGUGUUGGGAUUACAGGCGUGAGCCACUGCGCCCGGCCCCAGGAUUGUUAAAGUAAGUGACCUCAGGAUCCAGGUUGGUCGCGUUGCCUGGAGAAACUGACAAGAGGAAGAUCAGUGGGACAAACUGUAGACAGCCCUUUCCACCUGAACAAGUCUCAGAGAUGCAAUUGAUGCUUAUCACACUCCUUUACUUGCACCUUCCAGAUUCCCUUUACCCUUGACUAGGGUGAAAAUUCUAGAUUUCCUUCUCACCUAGAUCCUGCUGUUCUAGGUGGCUUACCUGGAGAGCUGCUCCAGAUCCUUAUGCCUACGGGGUCUUCACCAUGCUCUUCUCAGGACAUAGCUGGUGAAAUUUGUUUAUCUUUUUCUUUUUUGGAGACAGAGUCUCGCUCUGUUGCCCAGGCUGGAGUGCAGUGGUGCGAUCUCGGCUCACUGCAAGCUCCGCCUCCUGGGUUCACGCCAUUCUCCUGCGUCAGCCUCCCAAGUGGCUGGGACUACAGGCGCCCGCCACCACGCCCGGUUAAUUUUUUUGUAUUUUUAGUAGAGACAGGGUUUCACCAUGUUAGCCAGGCUGGUCUCGAUCUCCUGACCUUGUGAUGUGCCCGCCUCGGCCUCCCAAAGUGCUGGGAUUACAAGCGUGACCCACCGCGCCUGGCCAAAAUUUUUUUAUCUUUAAAAUUGGGGAAAAAAUAAUAACAGACAUCCCAAUGGAUUCCGUGAAUGCCAAAUGUUUUCCUCCCUGCACUCAUCAUGUAACAGCAGCCUCAGAUUCUAUGGAUGAUAGCAUUAAUUACCUAAGUCAGUAUGGUGACUUCUUUCCUUGUGUGCUGGUCUCAUUGAAGUCACAGUUUAACAUCCGAUGAGACUCUUACUGUGUCUCUUGGUGGACGUGUUCCCCUCUGGGAACCAAGUCCUUUAGGUUCUCUUUUUUCUUUUUUUUUAGAUGAAGUCUUGCUCUGUCACCCAGGCUAGAGUGCAGUGGUGUGAUCUCGGCUCACUGCAAUCUCCGCCUCCCGGGUUCAAGCGAUUCUCGUGCCUCAGCCUCCUGAGUAGCUGGGAUUACAGGCGCCCACCACUGUGCCUGGCUAAUUUUGUAUUUUUAGUAGAGACGGGGUUUCACCAUGUUGGCCCGGCUGAUCUCAAACUCCUGACCUCGUGAUCCACCGACCUCGGCCUCCCAAAGUGCUGGGAUUACAGGGGUGAGCCACUGAACCCGGCCAGGUUAAUUAUUUCUUGUGCUUUCCUCCCCAAUGGCUCUAUUCCUCAUCCUAUACAGGAAACACUGGUGUUGGCAACUAUGUUAGGCUUCAUCGGGGAGUAUCAAUGCAUGGACACCACCCCAGGGUAGCUGAGCAACUGAUAGAAUUCCUGGGCUUGGAUAUGAACCUUCCAUCCAGGUGAUGGGCAUGAGUAGAUUCUGAGAAGCAAAAGGAGUGACCAAUACUGGGUAUCUUCCAUUCGCCCCAGCAGAUUCACCUCCUCUACCCUGCUGUACUUGGGAUGAUUAGUUACUAUGAACGUUAUCAACGAACUCCCUUACCUUAUUGGCUUUUGGUUGAGUUUGGCAAAUGGGGAACCCAAAUAUGAUAUAAGAAUGAAGGACAAGGAGGGCUGGCCCUGGCUAUUUCUUUCUCUUUUUUUUGGGGGGGGGGGGAUGGAGUUUCACUCUGUCACCCAGGCUGGAGUGCAAUGGCAUGAUCUUGGCUCAUUGCAACCUCCACCUACCAGGUUCAAGCAAUUCUCCUGCCUCAGCCUCCCAAAUAGCUGGGACUACAGGCGCAUGCCACCACACCUGGCUGGUUUUCGUAUUUUCAGUAGAGAAUGGGUUUCAUCAUGUUGGCCAGGCUGGUCUUGAACUCCUGAUCUCAAGUAAGCCACCCACCUUGGCCUCCCAAAGUGCCAGAAUUAUAGGUGUGAGCCACUGUGCCUGGCCGACCCUUACUAUUUCUUGCAGAACUCGAGGCUGGAUGUUGCCCCUCACUGACCUCCUGUCAGCUCCUGGAAUGCAGCCCUCUCCUCGCUUGAACAACAACUUGCAGUUCUCUUCCUUUGUCCCUUCAGGCUUAUGGGUGUCCUACGAUCUGCCAUUUGUUUGGAAGCUGGAGAACCAAGAAAGCUGGUAGUCUUGCUCCAGUCCAAGCUCAAAGACCUGAAAACAGGGGAGCCAACAGUGUAAACCCCAGUGUGAAGUCCAAAGGCUUGAGAACUGGGAGGGCCAAUGGUGUAAGUUGCGAGUCUGAGUCUGAAGGCUGGAGAACCAGAAGCACCCAUAUCUGAGGUGGGGAGAAGACCGAUGUUCCAUUUCAAGUAUCUUUUGUGGUUUCCCUACAUCCUGUUCACAAUUCUGUGAGUAGUCCCUUUAUAUAAACUGCGCUUGAAUCAUC